AUUGAACGCUGGCGGCAGGCCUAACACAUGCAAGUCGAGCGGGGUUUUCGGACCUAGCGGCGGACGGGUGAGUAAUGCGUAGGAAGCUACCCGAUAGAGGGGGAUACCAGUUGGAAACGACUGUUAAUACCGCAUAAUGUCUACGGACCAAAGUGUGGGACCUUCGGGCCACAUGCUAUCGGAUGCGCCUACGUGGGAUUAGCUAGUUGGUGGGGUAAUGGCUCACCAAGGCGACGAUCCCUAGCUGGUUUGAGAGGAUGAUCAGCCACACUGGAACUGAGACACGGUCCAGACUCCUACGGGAGGCAGCAGUGGGGAAUAUUGGACAAUGGGCGCAAGCCUGAUCCAGCCAUGCCGCGUGUGUGAAGAAGGCCUUCGGGUUGUAAAGCACUUUCAGUAGGGAGGAAGGGUGUUGUGUUAAUAGCACAGCAUUUUGACGUUACCUACAGAAGAAGCACCGGCUAACUCUGUGCCAGCAGCCGCAGUAAUAC
rnacentral:rRNA from 1 species